UCCGAUUUUUAUAUUUUUAUUUAUUUUUAUCUUUUUAGUGUAAGUAGUCAUUGCUUGGUAGUUGGUAAAAUAUCAAUUCACCAGCAAAACUUUCCAAAUCCACACAGUAGGAGUUCAGUAGCUUGCAGAAUCAGGAUCGAAGAGUUGGGACUUGGAAUUCAAUAACAAAGUCUAUGUUCGGCAUUUGUU